CGAAAAGACAACUAAAAUCAGAUAGAAAACGUUUGUAACCAUUUUUAUCUCCAAAUUAUUAAUUUUACAGGUGCGAAAUACAGGUAUCCUCUCUUCGAACUCAACUAAAAUGGAACGUUAGUGUUUGACGUUCAAUAAUCAAUACUGAUAUUAGCAGACAAAAAUAUCAACAAGAAAAAUCACAACUUCCAUUCAUUUUUGUCUCUUUUGAAAUGUAAUGUUCUACCUUUUACGUUUCCAAUCGAUUACCGCGGUGUAAAUUUCCGCUGUCAAUCAAACAGUCUACGUCAAGUUAAAAACAAUUCUAGUUGAUUAAUACCGUCCCAAAGUACAGCCCACUUUUUCUUUUUAUGUAUAUAUCUGCGAUGAUUUAAAUGAAUUAUUUCCACAGUAUGAGAAUAAAAAAAUAGUAAUUUCCUUUAAUACACAAUAAAUUAUAUCCGGUAAUAACCAGGAAAGUACCACGUGGAAAAUUCACCAAUUUGAGAGACGAAAAAAAAAACCGUUAUUCGCCCAACACCUGCAUACUAACUAGAUCGUGGACUAUACUUUACACCUAAUUAAAUUUAGAUUAUAAGUAAUUAUUGCUAUGUAAGGUAUGAAUUGUUAGUACAACUGUCUGACGAUCAAGGGUCGAUCUACCUUUUUAAAUGUUGUUUGAUCGUAGUAUUACCCGAGUUUUAGAAUUAUUGAACCGAACCAUUCACGGUUUUUGAGUAUUUAAAUAUUUCAUUGUUUAUAAAGUAUCUUAAAUAUUUAAAAGUUUGUUUUGAAUUAUAAACAGACGUAUUAUAGACUGGGAGUGUUUAUGCUUUGUU
rnacentral:lncRNA from 1 species